rnacentral:rRNA from 1 species
GACGAACGCUGGCGGCGUGCUUAACACAUGCAAGUCGAACGGAAAGGCCCUGCUUUUGUGGGGUGCUCGAGUGGCGAACGGGUGAGUAACACGUGAGUAACCUGCCCUUGACUUUGGGAUAACUUCAGGAAACUGGGGCUAAUACCGGAUAGGAGCUCCUGCUGCAUGGUGGGGGUUGGAAAGUUUCGGCGGUUGGGGAUGGACUCGCGGCUUAUCAGCUUGUUGGUGGGGUAGUGGCUUACCAAGGCUUUGACGGGUAGCCGGCCUGAGAGGGUGACCGGCCACAUUGGGACUGAGAUACGGCCAAGACUCCUACGGGAGGCAGCAGUGGGGAAUAGUGCACAAUGGGCGGAAGCCUGAUGCAGCAACGCCGCGUGCGGGAUGACGGCCUUCGGGUUGUAAACCGCUUUCGCCGGUGACGAAGCGUGAGUGACGGUAAUGGGUAAAGAAGCACCGGCUAACUACGUG